rnacentral:rRNA from 1 species
UACGUAGGGUGCAAGCGUUAAUCGGAAUUACUGGGCGUAAAGCGUGCGCAGGCGGUUGUGCAAGACCGAUGUGAAAUCCCCGGGCUCAACCUGGGAAUUGCGAUGGAGACUGCAAGGCUAGAAUCUGGCAGAGGGGGGUAGAAUUCCACGUGUAGCAGUGAAAUGCGUAGAGAUGUGGAGGAACACCGAUGGCGAAGGCAGCCCCCUGGGAUAACACUGACGCUCAUGCACGAAAGGCGUGGGGAGCAAACAGG